rnacentral:sRNA from 1 species
GUCGUGAGAUGUUGGGUUAAGUCCCGCAACGAGCGCAACCCCCGUCGUAUGUUGCCAGCAUUUAGUUGGGGACUCAUGCGAGACUGCCGGUGACAAACCGGAGGAAGGUGGGGAUGACGUCAAGUCAUCAUGCCCCUUAUGUCCAGGGCUACACACGUGCUACAUUGGCGCGUACAGAGGGCUGCGAUACCGCGAGGUGGAGCGAAUCCCUUAAAGCGCGUCUCGGUUCGGAUUGCAGGCUGAAACUCGCCUGCAUGAAGGUGGAGUUGCUAGUAAUCGCGGAUCAGCAUUGCCGCGGUGAAUACGUUCCCGGGCCUUGUACACACCGCCCGUCACACCACGGGAGUGAGCAACACCCGAAGCCGGUGGCCUAACCCGCAAGGGAGGGAGCCGUCGAAGGUGGGGCUCGUGACUGGGGUGAAGUCGUAACAAGGUAGCCGUACCGGAAGGUGCGGCUGGAUCACCUCCUUUCUAGGGAGCCUCCUAACCAUGGAGGCCCGUACGGCACGGCGCCGUCGCCGGCUCAUUGCCUGGGUUGUCAUUCGUGACGACCUCCGCAGUGAGCAUCGAGUGGCGGACAACCCGACCGUGCGGCCUAGUAUGUCGACCGGACCUGGCCCGGCGAGUGCCGCAUACCGUGGCGCUUUAGCCGGUGCAUGCUGUUGAGUUUUGAGAGACCGGCCCGCGAGUCCCGCGGGGCGCCUCCUGCGACCCUUGAAAACUGCACAGUAGCCAGUGACGACGUGACCUCAACUCGCGUCGUCACGCGCCGCCACAACGAUAAGUGUGGCGGCAACGGGUAUCACCGAAACCAACAGCUAAGGCUGAGGGUUUCGAUCACCGUCAAGAUAGUAAGGGCACAUGGUGGAUGCCUUGGCACCUAGAGUCGAUGAAGGGCGUGAACGGCUGCGAUAAGCCACGGUGAGGCGCUGAAUAGCCUUUGACCCGUGGAUGC